UGUAAAAUUUCAAAGGUCGAACAGACCUAAAAUUCUAGCUUCUACACCAAAAUUUAAUUUUAAUCCAACAUCGAGGUCGCAAACUUUUUUAUCGAUAAGAACUCUCCAAAAAAAAUUACGCUGUUAUCCCUAAGGUAAUUUAAUCUUAUAAUCCAAAAAUAAGGAUCAAAUAUUCAUAAAUUAAUGUUAAAAACAAAAAAAAGUUGAUUAAAUUUUUCCAUCGCCCCAACGAAAUACUCAACUAAAAUCAAAAGAAUAAAAUCCUCAACCACCAAAAUUAGAAAAAUAUAAAACUCUAUAGGGUCUUCUCGUCUUUAUAAAAAAUUUAAGCUUUUUGACUUAAAAAUGAAAUUAUAAACCAUUUAUAUAGAGACAGUUAUUUUCUCAUCAAACCUUUCAUUCCAGCUUUCAAUUAAAAAACUAAUGAUUAUGCUACCUUUGCACAGUCAAAAUACUGCGGCCAUUCAAGAAUCAUUGGGCAGGCCAGACUUUAAAUCAAAAUCAAAAAGAC
rnacentral:rRNA from 1 species